rnacentral:lncRNA from 1 species
GCCCUCCUGGCCCACCAGGACUGCCAGGCAUCCCAGGUUUCAAAGGUGAUAAAGGUCUCCGAGGACCACCAGGCAGAGAUGGCCAGGAUGGGAAAAUGGGGGUUGCUGGUCCCAGAGGUCCUGCAGGCCCACCUGGGCUUGAUGGCCCAAAGGGUGCUAAAGGAGAUCGUGGUAUGACUGGGGAUGUAGGAGAAAAAGGUGAACAGGUAAAACCAGUGUGCUUUCCAACAGUGCUGCCUCUGUACUUCCCCCUUCAUCAGUAAUUCCUGUGAUGUCUGUGGAAUAAUUCCCUUCUCAGAGGAAAACCAAGAAGAUGGGAGUUCUUCAUCAC